rnacentral:rRNA from 1 species
GUGUCAGCCGCCGCGGUAAUACGUAGGUGGCAAGCGUUGUCCGGAUUUAUUGGGCGUAAAGGAUGUGCAGGCGGAUUCUUAAGUGUGAUGUGAAAGCCCCGGGCUUAACUUGGGGGGUGCAUUUGAAACUGGAUGUCUUGAGUGCAGGAGAGGAAAGUAGAAUUCCAAGUGUAGCGGUGAAAUGCGUAGAGAUUAGGAGGAAGACCAGUGGCGAAGGCGGCUUUCUGGUCUGCAACUGACGCUGAGGCGUGAAAGCAUGGGGAGCAAACAGGAUUAGAUACCCUGGUAGUCCACGCCGUAAACGAUGAGUACUAAGUGUAAGAGGGAU